rnacentral:lncRNA from 1 species
GUGGGGUCAGACUGAUUAGUGAGGAUGUGAUAUCUUUACUGUCCUUUCCUGCAGCUCAUGCCUCAGUGCCAUUACAGGCUAUAGUACGGUGGCCGAGAGAGCUCAACGCGCUGCAACUUAAGAAAACACAUGCAAAUUGAAAAAACACCAGCAAAUUAAGAAAACAUCUUCAUCAGUUUGACAACACACGCGCUGCAAAUCCUCACAACACAUGCAAACGAAGAAACGCGCUGCAAAUCCUCACAACACAUGCAAACGAAGAAACGCGCUGCAAAUCCUCACAACACAUGCAAACGAAGAAACGCGCUGCAAAUCCUCACAACACAUGCAAACGAAGAAACGCGCUGCAAAUCCUCACAACACAUGCAAACGAAGAAACGCGCUGCAAAUCCUCACAACACAUGCAAACGAAGAAACGCGCUGCAAAUCCUCACAACACAUGCAAACGAAGAAACGCGCUGCAAAUCCUCACAACACAUGCAAACGAAGAAACGCGCUGCAAAUCCUCACAACACAUGCAAACGAAGAAACGCGCUGCAAAUCCUCACAACACAUGCAAACGAAGAAACGCGCUGCAAAUCCUCACAACACAUGCAAACGAAGAAACGCGCUGCAAAUCCUCACAACACAUGCAAACGAAGAAACGCGCUGCAAAUCCUCACAACACAUGCAAACGAAGAAACGCGCUGCAAAUCCUCACAACACAUGCAAACGAAGAAACGCGCUGCAAAUCCUCACAACACAUGCAAACGAAGAAACGCGCUGCAAAUCCUCACAACACAUGCAAACGAAGAAACGCGCUGCAAAUCCUCACAACACAUGCAAACGAAGAAACGCGCUGCAAAUCCUCACAACACAUGCAAACGAAGAAACGCGCUGCAAAUCCUCACAACACAUGCAAACGAAGAAACGCGCUGCAAAUCCUCACAACACAUGCAAACGAAGAAACGCGCUGCAAAUCCUCACAACACAUGCAAACGAAGAAACNNNNNNNNNNNNNNNNNNNNNNNN